CCUACGGGUGGCUGCAGUGGGGAAUAUUGGACAAUGGGCGAAAGCCUGAUCCAGCCAUGCCGCGUGUGUGAAGAAGGCCUUCGGGUUGUAAAGCACUUUCAGUGGGGAAGAAAGCCUUGGGGCUAAUACCCUCGAGGAAGGACAUCACCCACAGAAGAAGCACCGGCUAACUCCGUGCCAGCAGCCGCGGUAAUACGGAGGGUGCGAGCGUUAAUCGGCAUUACUGGGCGUAAAGCGCGCGUAGGCGGUCUGAUAAGCCGGUUGUGAAAGCCCCGGGCUCAACCUGGGAACGGCAUCCGGAACUGUCAGGCUAGAGUGCAGGAGAGGAAGGUAGAAUUCCCGGUGUAGCGGUGAAAUGCGUAGAGAUCGGGAGGAAUACCAGUGGCGAAGGCGGCCUUCUGGACUGACACUGACGCUGAGGUGCGAAAGCGUGGGUAGCAAACAGGAUUAGAUACCCCUGUAGUC
rnacentral:rRNA from 1 species